rnacentral:rRNA from 1 species
UACGUAGGUGGCGAGCGUUGUCCGGAUUUACUGGGCGUAAAGAGCGCGCAGGCGGUCGUGCAAGUCGAGUGUGAAAGCCCCCCGGCUCAACUGGGGAGGGUCACUCGAUACUGAUCGACUCGAAGGCAGAAGAGGGAAGCGGAAUUCCCGGUGUAGUGGUGAAAUGCGUAGAUAUCGGGAGGAACACCAGUGGCGAAGGCGGCUUUCUGGUCUGCUCUUGAC